rnacentral:lncRNA from 1 species
UUGCCAAUUACGGUAGAAUAAUUAAUUAACCCUCCCAUGCAUCUCUUUUCUAAGUUUGGAAGCGGUCAAACGAUUGAGUUGCACGUGCGGCUUUGUUCUUUUGCAUUCAUUUUCAUGCCCAAAGCCCUUUAAUUUGCCACCAUAUCUUUACACGGACUUACGUGUCUCUUCCAACAAUCGACAUUCAACAAGCUGCCUACUGACGAUCAUCUUUGUGCUAUUCCAGUUUGUUUGUAAGGCUUUUUUGCCAUGUUAGUUAAUACUGUAUAUAACAUCCACCAAAUUCUAGCUAGUUGUACUAGCUUCGCAAUUACAAUAAAAAGGAGGUAAUUAGAUAUAGAAAUGUACAGAUAUGAUUUCCAACCCACAAUAUACACAUCAUUAUUAACUUUCGAACUACGUAUAUGAUCCCCCCCUAUUCUUUGUUCCUGAUUUCUUUAAUCACAGCUGAAAGUAAAAGAUUAACAUAUACAAAAGGAUUCAUUAAAACAUAGAUCCCUGUACAAGCAUAACAUAAAUAGCUAGCUAAGUGCUAACGGCAACAUACUCCUACUUUGUUCGUUCUACCUAAUGCACAUGCUUGUAUGUAUGUAUAUAGUUAGGAACUAUAUGUGUGUGUGUGUUGGACAGAGCCCUGUUUUAGUUUGAUGACCCCUUAAUUAUUAGAAAGGGGCACGAUGGGGAAUGCCUUUCCUCCUGCUGGAGUUCCUGUGAUUGUAGAUUGGUGGUGUAUCCGGAGACAUACUGUAUAUCAUGUGCAAAUUAGCUGCUUCUUCUUCUUCUUCUUCUUCUUCUUCACCAUCAGAAUUAGUAGUGCCCUCUUCAAUAUUCAGAUGACGAAACCCAAACAUUACUCUGUCGUCCCUGCGUUGCUUCUUCUUUGGGGUCGUCGAUGAUUCAUCCGAAUAUUCAAACCCUUGAUUAGUCUUCGCCUUCACUGCAAAUGUCAGCUCUUCAUCGCCUCGCCUAAUACCAUUCAGCUGCGCGCAGCCAAAAUCACAUCAAUUAAUAAUUGAAACAUUCUAACUAAGCACUCACUAAUAAUUUCACUGAUAAAAGGAGAAGUGAACUUAUUAAUUACCAACAUGCUCGACCAAAACUGAACACAGAAAUCUCGACGUAUAUACUUGGAAAACAGAGACCAUAUAUAGUUGCAAUUCAAACGUUCCAGAUUAAUGUCAAAUUCAAUCAGCUACAACCAUAUUCUUGUUAACAUCUUAUCUAUAUAUGGCAAUGCAGCAGAGGUUUGAGGAUGGGAGAGGAAGUUCUACCUUGCAGCCGAGGGAGCAGAAUCUGAAAGAGUCGAGUAGGCUGCGGGCACAGAUUUCACAAGUAUUGGUAACACCCUUGCCCGGUCUGGGCUGGGGACGCUCAUUAAGAAACACA